GUCUCCUUUAUGCAAAGCCUAUAAAUGCUACUUUCUCACUUUGGUAACAUUAAUACAAGCACUUAAAUUAGUUCAUGAUUAGAACUUUGUUACAAAGAAAACAAAAGAAUGUACGGUAUGAAAACUUCAUAAAAUAAACCCUGUACAGUACAAGUACAGCUGAACCCUUAUGUGGCUUAAUUAUAUACAGUUAACUUUGCAGGCAACCAAAUCACCAAUAAUGCCUCCGCUUCCCAGAGGACUCAUACCCUCUCACAUAUUUUUCUCUAUCCAGGGCUUGGAAUCGUUGAAUCAUUGGAGGAUCUAAAUCAAGUGAUGGUGACGCUAACCAGCAUUUAUAAGGACAUCUAUUCUUUGGUAUAGGGGAUCCACGACAUGGGCAAUUUGGUGCAUGCUCAAAAUCAGAUUCUUUCCUCCUAUUCUCUUCUUUGUUUUUGGGAUUAAAUUCUUCUUGCUUCGAUUGGGUUGGUACUCUUCUUCUUUGAUAAUCAUCAUCGCAACAGCAACAACAGCACAAAUGGUAGCAGGUGUCAUCAUGAGGAUUAUGCCUUCUACCAUUAUCAUUAUCAACGUUAAUGCAUAUGAUACAGCAAAUUUUAUCCUGUUCAAGAACCACUAUAUGUUAGUACAACAAGAUUAGCAUAUUAAUCUUCCAAGUUACAACUACAAAGAAUCAUGUGAUCAAUAUAAAAAAUCAAAAAGCAGAAACAUAAAAAUAAAAGCUUUGGAGGAUAUCAAAGUUCAAUGAAAGAAACAAAUGCAAUAAAUUCUUACCCAAGAGCAUAAUUUAUCACAAUCGCAAUCACAAUCAUCACAACAGCAGCAGCAGCAACAACAAUCGCAAUCGCAAUCACAAUCACCAAAAUCACAGUCACAAUCAAGAUCGCUCAUGGAUAUUAAUUUCUCUUCAACUGAGAGACAAAAGAGAGAAACAGGAGGAAAGUUUCAAGGGUAUGCUAGCACAGGAAAUAUAGAAUUGAAUGAUAUGGGUAGAGGAUAUAUGGCCUACAAGUUCCGUGUCAUAUCGAUGGAAUAUAUCCUACUUGAAUUCCACGCUUUAAUUAUUUUGCUUUGGUGGCUUUCCAAGUGGAGAAGGAAUUUGGCUUUUGAUUUUUAGUUUUGGUCUCGGAUACUAGUAUGAAAAUGAUGCACUUAGAGCAAUUUGCUUUUUGGAUCUUUAUACUAGUAUACAUCUUCUCCAGCACAUGGAAUGCAGAAACAAUUUGCAGUUGAUUAUUUUUUUCGAAUUAAUUUGAUUUAAACUCGGUUUGAUUCAUAAAUUGAACCUAUGAAAUGAAUAAAAAGAACUGAAUUGAACCGAAUCGAAGUUCAAUUCGGUUUAUCCAUUAGGGUUGUGGCGAUGUCUUCCUCUUUCAUAAAAAAUGGUACAUAAGAAGAACAAGUAAACCUCUCAUCAAUGGAGAGAAAUUCCGGCUUCAGAAACCGUGAAAGGCUGUAGUUUCUGAGGAAUUGAAGACAAAUAGGUAAGGCAAUAGUAGGGAGUGGAGAAGAAGAGGCAGAGACUUAAAAGCAGUCACAUGGGAGUGAGGCGUGAGUAGCUGAGCAAGGAAGAGAAGAGAAGGGAUGAGUCAACG
rnacentral:misc_RNA from 1 species